CUACUUACCUGGCAGGGUAGACACCAUGAUCAAGCAGAUGGUUUUCCCAGAGCAAGGCUCAUCCCUUGCACUCCAGGUGUGCUGACCCCUGCGAUUUCCCCAAAUGCAGAAAACUUGACUGCGUAAUUUGUGGUAGUGGCGGACUGGGUUUGUUUGUUUGUUUG
ensembl:snRNA U1 U1 spliceosomal RNA